GAUGAACGCUGGCGGCGUGCCUAAUACAUGCAAGUCGAGCGAACAGACGGGGAGCUUGCUCCUCUGACGUUAGCGGCGGACGGGUGAGUAACACGUGGAUAACCUACCUAUAAGACUGGGAUAACUUCGGGAAACCGGAGCUAAUACCGGAUAAUAUAUUGAACCGCAUGGUUCAAUAGUGAAGGACGGUUUUGCUGUCACUUAUAGAUGGAUCCGCGCCGCAUUAGCUAGUUGGUAAGGUAACGGCUUACCAAGGCGACGAUGCGUAGCCGACCUGAGAGGGUGAUCGGCCACACUGGAACUGAGACACGGUCCAGACUCCUACGGGAGGCAGCAGUAGGGAAUCUUCCGCAAUGGGCGAAAGCCUGACGGAGCAACGCCGCGUGAGUGAUGAAGGUCUUCGGAUCGUAAAACUCUGUUAUUAGGGAAGAACAAAUGUGUAAGUAACUAUGCACGUCUUGACGGUACCUAAUCAGAAAGCCACGGCUAACUACGUG
rnacentral:rRNA from 1 species